rnacentral:rRNA from 1 species
UUUAAUUAAGAGUUUGAUCCUGGCUCAGGACGAACGCUGGCGGCACGCUUAACACAUGCAAGUCGAACGAGAGAAGAGAAGCUUGCUUUUCUGAUCUAGUGGCGGACGGGUGAGUAACACGUGAGCAAUCUGCCUUUCAGAGGGGGAUACCGAUUGGAAACGAUCGUUAAUACCGCAUAAUAUAAUUGAACCGCAUGAUUUGAUUAUCAAAGAUUUAUCGCUGAAAGAUGAGCUCGCGUCUGAUUAGCUAGUUGGUAAGGUAACGGCUUACCAAGCGACGAUCAGUAGCCGGACUGAGAGGUUGAUCGGCCACAUUGGGACUGAGACACGGCCCAGACUCCUACGGGAGGCAGCAGUGGGGAAUAUUGCACAAUGGAGGAAACUCUGAUGCAGCGAUGCCGCGUGAGGGAAGAAGGUUUUAGGAUUGUAAACCUCUGUCUUCAGGGACGAAAAAAGACGGUACCUGAGGAGGAAGCUCCGGCUAACUACGUGCCAGCAGCCGCGGUAAUACGUAGGGAGCGAGCGUUGUCCGGAAUUACUGGGUGUAAAGGGAGCGUAGGCGGGAUCGCAAGUCAGAUGUGAAAACUAUGGGCUUAACCCAUAAACUGCAUUUGAAACUGUGGUUCUUGAGUGAAGUAGAGGUAAGCGGAAUUCCUAGUGUAGCGGUGAAAUGCGUAGAUAUUAGGAGGAACAUCAGUGGCGAAGGCGGCUUACUGGGCUUUAACUGACGCUGAGGCUCGAAAGCGUGGGGAGCAAACAGGAUUAGAUACCCUGGUAGUCCACGCCGUAAACGAUGAUUACUAGGUGUGGGGGGACUGACCCCUUCCGUGCCGCAGCAAACGCAAUAAGUAAUCCACCUGGGGAGUACGACCGCAAGGUUGAAACUCAAAGGAAUUGACGGGGGCCCGCACAAGCAGUGGAGUAUGUGGAUUAAUUCGAAGCAACGCGAAGAACCUUACCAGGUCUUGACAUCGUAUGCAUAGCUCAGAGAUGAGUGAAAUCUCUUCGGAGACAUAUAGACAGGUGGUGCAUGGUUGUCGUCAGCUCGUGUCGUGAGAUGUUGGGUUAAGUCCCGCAACGAGCGCAACCCUUACUGUUAGUUGCUACGCAAGAGCACUCUAGCAGGACUGCCGUUGACAAAACGGAGGAAGGUGGGGAUGACGUCAAAUCAUCAUGCCCCUUAUGACCUGGGCCUCACACGUACUACAAUGGCUGUCAACAGAGGGAUGCAAAGCCGCGAGGUGGAGCGAACCCCUAAAAGCAGUCUUAGUUCGGAUUGUAGGCUGCAACCCGCCUACAUGAAGUCGGAAUUGCUAGUAAUCGCAGAUCAGCAUGCUGCGGUGAAUACGUUCCCGGGCCUUGUACACACCGCCCGUCACGCCAUGGGAGUCGGUAACACCCGAAGCCUGUAGUCUAACCGCAAGGAGGACGCAGUCGAAGGUGGGAUUGAUGACUGGGGUGAAGUCGUAACAAGGUAGCCGUAUCGGAAGGUGCGGCUGGAUCACCUCCUUUCUA